rnacentral:pre_miRNA from 1 species
AGUAGAAUGGCUGGAUCAUAUGGUAACUUUGUUAGCCUUUUGAGGAACUUCCAAAUUAUUUUCCAAAGCAUCUGCACCAUUUUACAUUUUUUUGUUGU